CCCACUUUAUCCUCUUGCGCUGCUUCUUCAAAAACCCUAGAUCCUCGAAGCACUUUCUUCUCUCUUCUUCUAUCUUAUUUCUUUCUUUUUAUUUUCUACAAUUGACGAUGAGAUUUAAUCUUGCUAAUUUCUUUUUCAUUUAUUAGCAUUUUUUCUGCUGGUGUGUGUGUGUGUGUUUUUGGGGCGGAAAAUCAAAUGCAUUACCUUAAACAUCACUAUAUUUUGUUUGUCCGCAAGCAUUUGGCUUUUUGAGUUUACCAUCUAUGAUUAUUUCAUAAUGCGAAUGGUUCUUGCGUUUUAUGUGCUAUGUAAAAGGCAAAAAAUUCAAUGAAGUAGUUUUUAGGUUUUCCUCUUGCAUCUUUUUAUCGAAAAAGUCGUUGCAUCUAUUGUUUGAGCUAUGUUUUUCGUUUAGCUUUCUUGACACUCCUGUUUUUGCAUAUUGUAAACAGGUUCUGUGAUUCCGGUGUUGGUUCUGUACUGGAGUGUCCUUUAGGGUUCUCGAUGUCCAUGCUCUUUGCUGAUGUCCAUGGGCUUCAUGAAUCCAAUGUAACAAAAGAGCAAAAAUUUGUGCUUUAUUUCUUCUCAUGACAUUUUCUACUUCUAUUUAUCCUUCUUUACCUCUUACGUUUCUCAUAAAUGCUAUCUCUUUGGUAUUUCAUUUAGAUCUGCGGUUUUGUGAUCCUCGCUCUUCUUACUGGCUACCGUUUAGUGUAUGCGAUGACUCAGGCCUUCAUCUACCUUCAUGUUCUUUAGUUCUAUAAAUCAUCCGGAGUUUACUUCCAGAUGGUUCCAUGGCUACGAUUUCUGAUAUAUUGACUUUUUCAUAUGCUUUUUCAUCCAUUUUUCAUAUUUCUUUUUUUGUCUAUGCUUUUCUUAUGGGUUUGUUAACAUUUCGCAGGAUCCAGUUUCUUUUACUUUAAGAUAAUUGGCUUAGGGGGUUUGAUUUGUACUUUAACGUUGAAAUUGUUUGAUCCUGUCUCAAAGGCUUCUGUUGGUAUUCUGUCCAGUUUUUUUUCUUAAUAUCUUUAAUUGCAUGAGUUCUAUGAUUAUGUAAUUCUCUUAAUUUGCAUGUUUUAUUCCUUAACAAUGAUUUGAAUAUUAGUUAGAAUGUUCCAUAUAGAAA
rnacentral:lncRNA from 1 species